rnacentral:rRNA from 1 species
GAUGAACGCUGGCGGCGUGCCUAAUACAUGCAAGUCGAACGAAACUUCUUUAUCACCGAGUGCUUGCACUCACCGAUAAAGAGUUGAGUGGCGAACGGGUGAGUAACACGUGGGCAACCUGCCCAAAAGAGGGGGAUAACACUUGGAAACAGGUGCUAAUACCGCAUAACCAUAGUUACCGCAUGGUAACUAUGUAAAGGGUGGCUAUACUACCGCUUUUGGAUGGGCCCGCGGCGCAUUAGCUAGUUGGUAGGGUAAAGGCUUACCAAGGCAAUGAUGCGUAGCCGAAUUGAGAGGUUGAUCGGCCACAUUGGGACUGAGACACGGCCCAAACUCCUACGGGAGGCAGCAGUAGGGAAUCUUCCACAAUGGGCGAAAGCCUGAUGGAGCAACGCCGCGUGGGUGAAGAAGGUCUUCGGAUCGUAAAACCCUGUUGUUAGAGAAGAAAGUGCGUGAGAGUAACUGUUCACGUUUCGACGGUAUCUAACCAGAAAGCCACGGCUAACUACGUG